rnacentral:rRNA from 1 species
AUUUUUGGAGAGUUUGAUUCUGCCUCAGCACGAACGUUGGCGGCGUGGAUAAGGCAUGCAAGUCGAACG